UGAGGAAUAUUGGGCAAUGCCCGCAAGGGUGACCCAGCAACGCCGCGUGGAGGAUGAAUGUCGUAAGAUUGUAAACUCCUGUUAGAGGGGAAGAAUAGUACCGGUUGGACCGGUAUAUGACUGUACCCUCAGAGAAAGCCCCGGCUAACUACGUGCCAGCAGCCGCGGUAAUACGUAGGGGGCAAGCGUUGUCCGGAUUUACUGGGUGUAAAGGGCGCGCAGGCGGGAUAAAAAGUCAGUGGUGAAAUCCUACAGCUUAACUGUAGAACUGCCUUUNAUACUUUUAUUCUUGAGUUCGGGAGAGAGAGACGGAAUUCCAGGUGUAGUGGUAAAAUACGUAGAUAUCUGGAAGAACACCAGUUGCGAAGGCGGUCUCUUGGUCCGACACUGACGCUGAGGCGCGAAAGCGUGGGGAGCAAAC
rnacentral:rRNA from 1 species